rnacentral:rRNA from 1 species
UACGUAGGGUGCAAGCGUUGUCCGGAAUUAUUGGGCGUAAAGAGCUCGUAGGCGGCUCGUCGCGUCGGCUGUGAAAACCUGGGGCUCAACCCCGGGCCUGCAGCCGAUACGGGCGAGCUAGAAUUCGGUAGGGGAGACUGGAAUUCCUGGUGUAGCGGUGAAAUGCGUUGAGAUCGUGAGGAACGCCCGUGGCGAAAGCGGGCGCCUGGACCCCGCCUGACGCUGAGACGCGAAAGCCAGGGGAGCGAACGGG